GAUGAACGCUAGCGGCAGGCUUAAUACAUGCAAGUCGAGGGGCAGCACAGGUAGCAAUACUGGGUGGCGACCGGCAAACGGGUGCGGAACACGUACACAACUUACCUUAGAGUGGGGGAUAGCCCAGGGAAACUUGGAUUAAUACCCCAUAAAACAGGGGGCCCGCAUGGGCAUAUUGUUAAAGAUUUAUCGCUUUAAGAUGGGUGUGCAUAUGAUUAGGUAGUUGGUAGGGUAAAGGCCUACCAAGCCGACGAUCAUUAACUGGUGUGAGAGCACGACCAGUCACACGGGCACUGAGACACGGGCCCGACUCCUACGGGAGGCAGCAGUAAGGAAUAUUGGUCAAUGGACGGAAGUCUGAACCAGCCAUGCCGCGUGAAGGAUGAAGGUCCUCUGGAUUGUAAACUUCUUUUAUAGGGGGCGAAAAAGGGCCAUUCUUGGUCAACUGACGGUACCCUAUGAAUAAGCACCGGCUAACUCCGUGCCAGCAGCCGCAGUAAGAC
rnacentral:rRNA from 1 species